UAGCAAUACAAGGCAGACGGCUCAGUAACGCGCAGUCAACCUACCCUAUGGACGGGAAUAACCUCGGGAAACUGAGUAUAAUGCCCGAUAGAACACUAUACCUGGAAUGGUUUGUGUUCCAAAUGAUUUAUCGCCGUAGGAUGGGACUGCGGCCUAUCAGUUUGUUGGUGAGGUAAUGGCCCACCAAGACUAUUACAGGUACGGGCUCUGAGAGGAGAAGCUCGGAGAUGGGUACUGAGACAAGGACCCAGGCCCUAUGGGGCGCAGCAGGCGAGAAAACUUUGCAAUGUGCGAAAGCACGACAAGGUUAAUCCGAGUGAUUUCUGCUAAAGAAAUCUUUUGCAAGUCAUAAAACCACUAGUGAAUAAGGGGUGGGCAAGUUCUGGUGUCAGCCGCCGCGGUAAAACCAGCACCUCAAAUGGUCAGGAUGAUUAUUGGGCCUAAAGCAUCCGUAGCCGGCUCUGUAAGUUUUCGGUUAAAUCUGUACGCUUAACGUACAGGCUGCCGGGAAUACUGCAGAGCUAGGGAGUGGGAGAGGUAGACGGUACUCGGUAGGAAGGGGUAAAAUGCUUUGAUCUCCCGAUGACCACCUGUGGCGAAGGCGGUCUACCAGAACACGUCCGACGGUGAGGGAUGAAAGCUGGGGGAGCAAACCGGAUUAGAUACCCGGGUAGUCCCAGCUGUAAACUAUGCAAACUCAGUGAUGCAUUGGCUUAUGGCCAAUGCAGUGUCGCAGGGAAGCCGUUAAGUUUGCCGCCUGGGAAGUACGUACGCAAGUAUGAAACUUAAAG
rnacentral:rRNA from 1 species